rnacentral:rRNA from 1 species
UACGGGGAGCAAGCGUUGUUCGGAUUUACUGGGCGUAAAGGGCGCGUAGGCGGCCACCGCAAGUCGACUGUGAAAUCUCCGGGCUUAACCCGGAAAGGUCAGCCGAUACUGCGGGCUAGAGUGCAGAAGGGGCAACUGGAAUUCUCGGUGGUAGCGGUGAAAUGCGUAGAUAUCGAGAGGAACACCUGCGGCGAAGGCGGGUUGCUGGGCUGACACUGACGCUGAUGUGCGAAAGCUAGGGGAGCGAACGGG